AGCAGUCGAGCGGAUGACGGGAGCUUGCUCCUUGAUUCAGCGGCGGACGGGUGAGUAAUGCCUAGGAAUCUGCCUGGUAGUGGGGGACAACGUUUCGAAAGGAACGCUAAUACCGCAUACGUCCUACGGGAGAAAGCAGGGGACCUUCGGGCCUUGCGCUAUCAGAUGAGCCUAGGUCGGAUUAGCUAGUUGGUGGGGUAAUGGCUCACCAAGGCGACGAUCCGUAACUGGUCUGAGAGGAUGAUCAGUCACACUGGAACUGAGACACGGUCCAGACUCCUACGGGAGGCAGCAGUGGGGAAUAUUGGACAAUGGGCGAAAGCCUGAUCCAGCCAUGCCGCGUGUGUGAAGAAGGUCUUCGGAUUGUAAAGCACUUUAAGUUGGGAGGAAGGGCAGUAAGCUAAUACCUUGCUGUUUUGACGUUACCGACAGAAUAAGCACCGGCUAACUCUGUGCCAGCAGCCGCGGUAAUACAGAGGGUGCAAGCGUUAAUCGGAAUUACUGGGCGUAAAGCGCGCGUAGGUGGUUUGUUAAGUUGGAUGUGAAAGCCCCGGGCUCAACCUGGGAACUGCAUCCAAAACUGGCAAGCUAGAGUACGGUAGAGGGUGGUGGAAUUUCCUGUGUAGCGGUGAAAUGCGUAGAUAUAGGAAGGAACACCAGUGGCGAAAGCGACCACCUGGACUGAUACUGACACUGAGGUGCGAAAGCGUGGGGAGCAAACAGGAUUAGA
rnacentral:rRNA from 1 species